rnacentral:rRNA from 1 species
AAGCGUUGUUCGGAAUUACUGGGCGUAAAGUGCUCGUAGGUGGCCUACUAAGUCAGACGUGAAAUCCCUCGGCUUAACCGGGGAACUGCGUCUGAUACUGGAUGGCUUGAGUUCGGGAGAGGGAUGCGGAAUUCCAGGUGUAGCGGUGAAAUGCGUAGAUAUCUGGAGGAACACCGGUGGCGAAGGCGGCAUCCUGGACCGACACUGACGCUGAGGAGCGAAAGCCAGGGGAGCAAACGGG